AGGCAGGCAGAUUACCUGAAAUCAGGAGUUAAGAGCAGCCUGCCCAAAACGGUGAAACCUCAUCUCUACUCAAAAUAUAAAAUUAGCCAGACAUGAUGACGGGCACCUUCCAGCUACUCGAGAGGCUGAGACAGGGGAAUUGCUUGAACCAAGGAGGUGGAGACUGGAGUAAACUGAGAUCA